rnacentral:lncRNA from 9 species
CAACCAUGCCCUUAUUUACUGUGCUUUGCCUGGCAACCACAUGACUAUCUUCCUUGCCUAACCCCCAACACCUUCUUUGUCUUUAGCUGGAGGUCUUAUUUAAGGUGGUGGCUUGGGCCAUUUUGGGAAGUUAUUCAGUUUUCCUGGGUAUUUCCUAGGUAUAUCUCCCAUGUAUACUCAGUUUUCCAUGAAUAUCUCCCAGGUAUAUAUGUCAUUAAGCUUCUGUUUUUCUCCUAUUAAUCUUUUAUGGCAGAGAGUUCUCAGCUAAGAGCCUUUAGGGGUAGAGGAAAAAUACAUUUUCCCCCUCUAUACAAGCACAUAGUGGAUGCUUGGACAGUAUUGUUUUUUCUAUCCUUCUCAUGGCAUCUUUUUAUAUUUUUUGAAAUCAUACAUUUAAUCAUAUCAUGAAAUUUCACUGAUACUCAUUCACCUCCAGGGGAGAUCUAUCAGCAUUAUCUCUGUGUUUAAGUUGAGAAUUAAUUUUUCUAAACUCCUACCUAUAAGUCACUUUCAAGAUAUGGUAACUUAGGUCUGAUUGUACUUAAAAAUGCGAACAAUGCUUAUGUAACUUUAGUUAGGCAGCAUCUGGAGCUGAUUUCCUAACUUUGAUUAACAGAACCAGCCUGAUGAAUCCCAGAUGUUUAAACAUGGCUGUAUUUCUUAGACUCACUGGAUUGUGAGAGUGAAUACAUGGGAGGAAGGGAAAAAUUUACAAGAACUAGGUGACAGAGUGGCCAAGGGGGUUUUGGCGUGUUGGCUUAGCUGGGGGUAUCUUUCUCAAUGAACAUCCCCAUUAAAGUUUUAUGCAUGUUAUUAAGACAAAGGUCCAAUCCUUGUUAACCCCAUAGUAUGUCUUAAUAACUCAUUCAUAUUUAUUCCUACAGAGAUAUUUUUGAGCAUCUACUACAUCUAAAGCCUUGUGGUUAGAAAGAUAAAUAAAAACAUUCCUUACCUUUGAGUCACUCAGUUUAGUGAAGGAGUCAGGCAUGUGAACAGUAAUUAUAAUCAAUUAUGACUGCUAUAUUGAAGGGCUGAGUACAGAAAGUAACUGGGUUUUCCAGGGAAGUCAAGAUGGUUUCAAAGGGAAGGAGACACUGGGCUCAAGAUUUCUAUGCAUUACGUCUACUGAUUGUAUUUAGCUGUGCUAACAUAAUACAGCUUCCAUAUAAUUGUAUGUUCCAUAGCUCACAGGGCCAUUUAUAUGUCAUAAAAAUACAUUAAAAAAAAUUCAAUCCAGAGUCAGAGCAGUAAAAACAUGCAUAUGAAUCAUGGACUGCCCAUCAUUUGGUAAAGCUUUUAUAAAAACAAUAUAUAUAUUAUUAGUCUUUCUUUUGCCAUAAAUUAUGCUUUUAAGUUAAAGAAUGCCUUUGCCUUUUGCAACCUUUUUCUUACUCUAACGCAUGCUCAAUGUUAUGGACAGAAAAUCAGAUAAGUUCAAAAUUACAAGUCUUUGAGGGGGAAAGAUGUCAUUCUGUGACAUUUUAGUUCUCAUAAAAUCUGCUCCAUUCCCCCCUCCCAAGGAAAUAUCAACCCUGAGUGAAAAGACAAAAUGUGUACCCUAAGUAGAGGAAUCUGAGUACCCUAUUGACAGUAAUUUUGAAAGUACCCUAUUGACAGUAAUUUUGAGAAUAAUUAAAACACAAUUGCAUGCUUUUAGAGGUAGAAAGAAAUUAAGUAUUAAGCUGCUGCCAAGAAUAAAAAGGUUACUAAUUCUUACACAACUUUUUUCAAUGAACUAAUGUCCCAUCAGACUCAAAUGUAUGUCAACCCUUUUCUUUACUCAGCUUUGACUAGUAAUUUCUUACUCUUCUUUUGUAUUCAGUGUCUCAGUACCUCCUUGUCUGUCAAACCUAAACUUACCAUUUACUCCUGUAAAUUCUUCCUGUGCAUUAACAAGGAUUGUCCACUUUGAUAGGUAUGCUAGACAAGCUAUACCAACAGACCUGGCUAUACCCUUUUCCUGGACCAUGUCCCUAGCCUUCAGUUCUUCACCCAUCAGAUGCCUACUUACCUUUCACAGCCUAGUUUACGUAUCAUUAUAUAAUCUUCAUCACACCUGUAAUUGCAUGCUCAGGGUUUGUCUUUCUCACCUGAUUAUAAGUUCCAGGAGAGCAGGAGAUUUGUGUGUCUAUAUUCAUCAUUGUAUCGUCAUCAUGCUCAUUGUAGUCAUGCAGAAAAUACUUGCUGAAAAGAAAACAUUCAAAAUAUUUAUCACUGUAAUAGUUUAUGCUCUAGUAAUAUAUUGCCUGAUCUGUCUAGAAGGUAUGUUUUUUUUAUCUUAGAGGCUUCGAUACACUGUUCUCUGUCCAGACCAACUUUCUCAUAAAUGAUUAUAUCUUGACCUUCAGGUCUCAGUGGAAAUCUCACCUCUUCAUGAAGAUCUCUCACCAAUCUAAGUUUUUGGUGUGGUGUUCUUCUUGCAGACAAUGGAGUUGUAGCCUCUUACUUCUGAAGUCUACUGCCCUUAUGGCUGAAGUUGGUAUGGGUGCUUGCUCUAGGCUUCCUGAUGGGAGGGACUGGUGCCUGCCCACUGGAGAUCCUCUAAAAACUGCAGUUAUGUCUGACCCAGAUUCCUAUGGAGACUCUGCUUUGCCCUGGGACCUAGGGCACAUGAAAACCUAUGUGAACCUUUCAAGAAUGGGGUCUCCAUUUCCCCCAGUCCCAUGGAACUCCUGGGUACAACCUCUGCUGGCCUUCAAUACCAGAUGCUCUGGGAGCGCUUUCUUCCAAUGCCAGAUCCCCGGUGUGGAGACCUGAUGUGGGGCUCAGAACUCUCACUCCUGUAGGAAAAGUUGAAAUCACUGUCCAGAAGUUCUUCUGAGGACUUAAAUUUGGAGUCAACAAGCAAGGAUGGCCUCCAGAAAUGAAGAUCGUAGAGUCCCGCCCCAUUGUCUCAUUGGGAUUGAUCAUCUCCAGUGCCUGUAACCUAGUACUUAAUGCCACUGUGAUUCAGUAUUUGUGCCUCAUUCCCAGAUUCCUAAUCUGUCCAAACACCUGCAUGGGACCACAUUCUGAAUGAAGCUGGGCCUCCAAGUUGUGUCUACAUCCACAUGUACAGCUUGCUAAUGUCUCCUGAAAUGUCUGGAGCUCAUCGCUUCCCCAGGGAAUACAUACUGUUGAGCCACAAUCAAGACAGUUGUACUACUCCCGCCCGUCUCUGACUGAACAAGGUAAACUUACCUACAAGAAAAUGGCAUCAUGCAGAGACUGAACUUGAGAAAAGUGGCACUGAACUUUAUGAAACACAGUCAGUCAUUCCUAAAAGUAUAGAUGAAUCUACACUUAGAGAGUUUAUAACGAUUAUGCAUACAAACUUCUCUUUCAACAUUUUUUUUUAAAUAAUGAAAAUUAACUAGAAGAUUGUAGAUCUGUUUUUGUACACAAACAAGUUUGAUUUACCUGGUAAUACAGUGGGUGUGCUUUUGUUUCACUAAACUGACCACUAAAUUUGAUUGAUUUAACUGAAUGAGCCAGUUAUUUUUGUGCUGUUUUGGCUGUAGAAACCAUGUGUUUAGACUGUAUACCAUAAUCCAUGCUGACACAAAUAAGCAGAGAAUAUGGAAUUCACCUUAUAUGUGUUUUAGUUAGUAUUGUCCAUAGUCUGUGCCUUCAGAGAAGCCCACCUUUCUUCCCAGUGAAUUUCAAUUAAAAAUACAACUUCUUUUUCAUGAUUUGUUUGGCUAAUCUAAACAUGGUUAACUUUAUACAAGGUGCAUCUGAUAAUUUUAUGUCUCUUCUCCCACCUCCUUGCAUUCCACCAACCAGUAUCUUUACUUCCUCUCUUUACUACUUCAAAUAAUCAGUUUGAGCUGUAGAGAAUACUAGAGUUUCACCACAAAGAAUUUUUUUUGGCAAGUUUUGAGUGAAAACAGAGAAUUAUAAUAGAAUUCACUUUGCAUGCCUCUACUGCUGAGAGCAGACCUCAUGUUUUUACAGUCACCCAGUGCUAAUGCAGCAGGAGGGCCCUGUCCUAGAUUCUUUGUGGCUCCAGACUACUUUAUUUCCUUUCUUCUCACUGUAGGAGACUGUUUCCUUUUUCCAUGUGUCUAGGGCCUAUGAGACAUCAUUAGUUCUUCUGGCUCUGUAUCUUGCUAUUUAUCUUUUUUGCUUUUUUCUGUUUCAAUUUCCAUAUUUUAUUACUUCUGCUUCUGUGUAAGGCCGGAUUCACUGUUAAAAGCUGAGGGACUAAUAGUUCAUUACUGCCUUUGAACACCUGUUAUGUGCUAAGUGCUAUAGGUGCUUUGUAUACCUUAUUUCUAAUAAAACAAUCCCAUGAGUAAGGUAAAUAUUUACAUUUUACAGUCUGGAAACUGAAGCUCAGAGACUAAGGAAAAUUCUAGUCAUGCAGCCUAUAAGUAAUGAACCUAUUGGAAGAUGGCAGGACUGUUGCCAUCAAAGGCUGUACUGUCUUAAAUACACUCAGAGUCUAUUCCUUUGGUCUAGCUUAGCAUAUGUUACCUUCCCAGACACUGGGCACUAAACUUCCAGGAAUGACUAUGGCACUUUUUAUCUUUACCUAUAGAUUGUUUCUCCUUUAAUUUUGUAACAUUUCUUUUCCAGCCUGUCUAGAAACUAUAGCUCUAACUGGAAAUCCACCAGGCUGUGCAUUCCUAUCUGACUUCAGAGACUCUGUUCUUUACAUCUUGCUACACUUUCUGUCAGCCUGAUUGAUCUUUUACUACCCAUCCACCAGGUGCUGGGGACUACAACAAAACGCAAACUUCAGUGGCUGAGUUUCUUAGAAAUGCUUUCAAAUGUAUGAUGGGAAUUUUCUGACUUACCUUAAAUAUACCUCAGAUGCUCUUUUCUCAAGUGAUCUUUCUGAGACAGUGUCAGGCAGAAUACCAUUAGAAGAAACACAUGUUUAGCUAUUUGAUGUAGAAGAGGAUUCAAAACAGGGAAGGAGCAAGCUUCUAGGUAAGUCUUCCAGGAAUGACCCCCAGAGUAACAAUGAGGACCCUCAUCGCUGAUCAGAGAACUGCUCCUCUGCCUCAGUCAAAGGGUAAGAAUCACAGGGCUACAACAGCACUUCUACAAUUGCUGCUGGGCAUCCCUGUGGCAGCAACUGGGCACUGGACCCCCAUUUUAGAAAAUUCCUGUGUCUCUAGCUGUAAUUUCCCACAGAAAACAGCAAUGAAGUAAAACAUUGGCCUCCACCCCACUUCCAUCUUCUGAAUCUUGCUUGAGUGGAUUUUAUAGAGAAAUCCUGCCUGGUAUCUAGAACACUAGCUGCAAGGGAGUUUGAAAUUCAGUUUUUAGUUUUUCAGUCUGUGCCACAUAGAAAUCUUCUAGAAAGCAGAUGGAAUAGAGGACCAGUAAACUAAUUCUUUUCACUCAGUAGAGGGGUAUUUGGUGAACAUUGAUUUUUUGUUUGUUUGUUUUGUAUUGAAAUGAGACGUAGAAUUGUUGGCAAAUACUUGUAACAAUGCAAACAAUAAAAUGCACCGUGUGAGUAUCUCACUUAUUUGCA